CGUCAUCCUGAGGUAAGCUGACUGUUUGUGUGCUUAACUCCGCUCAACCCCACAUUAGCCUCACGUGAUAAUGGGAUUCACGAAACGGCAUCGUUUGCUGAUGAAAGAUGCCUUCCUGCUUGCUUCCGGUCAGCCUGACAUCACGUUGAGACGGAAGACUUGGUGGUGGGUUUUCCUUGAGGUAAUACCGACCUGGCGGUGGGCUUUCCUUCUUGACGGUAGAGUGUUUCCCCAAAGCUGCUUGGUUUGAAGCGCCGAUGAAACGUGCCCUUACCACCUGUACUUCUGUUUGUCGACUCGCCCUCUGUUAAUACCGUCUAUUAAUAACUUCAGUCGCCUGCUCCUUAUGUGGCUUUAAAUUUCGUCUCCUUAUUUUAUUUUUUUUGCUACUUCUCUCUAGACAGCGCUUCAGGUGAGGUUUGAAUUCAAUUUAUUAUUGUAUUAUUUAUGCUCUAUGAUGCUUGCAAAUUCAAGGGUUUGCAUGUUGGUGCUUCAUAGUUGAUAUCCGUUAUUUAUUAGGUAUCGUAGGGAUUGAUCUUGAAGGGGAAUGAAAACUAGCGAUUCAUGGUUCAAACAUUGAAGGGUUAAUAACCAAACAGUGGUCGGAGGGGAAAGAAUCAUCAGGGGAGGUAGGAGGUAACCAGAACAAAGCGACUUCUCAUGCUAACUGAAAUAUGGAAGUUUCUUGCCAAUUUGAAGAAAGAAAGUGCAGUAACUAGCUUCAAUUGACAGCAGGCUUCUUCUAAUCCUCGUGACUGAUUUGAAGUUGUAUUUAAUGGGCUGGUAAUGGUUUAUUCCUACCCUCUGUCCGGGACAACUGACAUUUCUGGCUACCAUUCUUAGUAACAGGUUGGAAACAUGAAAUGUUAGUAAGUUCCAUCAUCAAUGAAUCGGAUGAAAGAAGCAUGAAGAUGAUUUUGAACCAACCCUCUUGCCCCAAAUCCCUAAUUUUCCAUGUACAGGUUUCUUAAUUGAAAGAAUGUUAAUUUAACUUGGGUGCACGGUGCAAGAGAUUUGGAUAAAAAAAAAUGAUGAGAUCGAUGUCUACUUCGAUAAGCAGCUUUCCCACCAACCACUUAUAGAGAUGGAUUUUGAGUCAAUGCAAUUGCUUUUCCCCCUCAGACAUCUGAUGGUAGGCUGCAUGCUGUCAUGGUCAACCUCAUCAUCCUUUCCUCAGCAUGGCAUAACACUGGGGUUCCAAAAACAAAUGUUCAGGUGUAAUUUGUUGUCAAAUUUUUCGAGAGAGGAAGGGAACUGAUGGUGAUACAAGUAUUCGGGAAGCACAGAUUGUGUUACUUUAUAAGCCAGGGUAUCUACUAAGCUGUACAGCCUGAAUCUUUGAAAGUUAUGCUGGAAGUUGUUCAAAUAGAGAUAUUACCUGCUAGCAAAGUCUGGAAUAUUUUCCAUAUAACCUGGACUCACAGUCAAGUUUUCCGGACAAUUUACCAUAGAAGGUUCACAAGUCAAUGAUUUAAAAGCAUGGACAAACUUGGAAUUCUUCCUCAAGCUAAGGCAUUCUGUGAUAAAUUGCUCCAUACUAUCGACUGUAACAACGACAUACGAAUGGUCGUAAUAACGGAAUGACGUUUGGCACCCGCAGACCUGCAAGUCCGGCUGUAGCUAGCAGCAAGGUGUAGGAUUGUCAAUCCAGCAUAGAUCUAUACGCAAACUCAACGCUCCCCCUUCAAGAGACUCUAGCCACAACUCAAGUCAUGAGGUUUUAAGUCAUGCUCCGAUUUAAAUCACAGUAAAUAACGUCUUCUCGUAUAUGUAAUGUAAUGAACUGUUCUAGCUGUAAGGUACGUGCUCUCUACCUAGCAAGUAUAGUAAUGUAAACGUUCUAGAAUAGUUGUAUAUGUUCUCGUCCUAGUAUAGUUGUAUAUGUUCUCGUCCUAGUAUAGUUGUAUAUGUUCUCGUCCUAGUAUAGUUGUAUAUGUAAUGUACAGUAAUGUUCUAGAAAGUAUUGACUCAUGAAUGAACUGACUCAUUGUA